rnacentral:rRNA from 1 species
UACGAGGGGUGCAAGCGUUGCUCGGAAUUAUUGGGCGUAAAGGGUAGGUAGGUGGUCUCGUUUGUCUGGGGUGAAAUCCCGGGGCUUAACCCCGGGCGUGCAGUGGAUACGGGCAGGCUGGAGGCAGGCAGGGGAGAACGGAAUUCCCGGUGUAGCGGUGAAAUGCGCAGAUAUCGGGAGGAACACCGGUGGCGAGGGCGGUUCUCUGGGCCUGUACUGACGCUGAGGAGCGAAAGCGUGGGGAGCAAACAGG